rnacentral:rRNA from 1 species
UACGUAGGGGGCUAGCGUUGUCCGGAAUCAUUGGGCGUAAAGAGCGUGUAGGCGGCCCGGUAAGUCCGCUGUAAAAGUCAAAGGCUCAACCUUUGAAUGUCAGUGGAUACUGCCGGGCUAGAGUCCGGAAGAGGCGAGUGGAACUCCUGGUGUAGCGGUGGAAUGCGCAGAUAUCAGGAAGAACACCAACGGCGAAGGCAGCUCGCUAGGACGGUACUGACGCUGAGACGCGAAAGCAUGGGGAGCGAACAGG